GGGCCUGUGGCUUAGUGGGUAGGGCGCCAGCCCCAUGUAUGGAGGGUGGCAGGUUCAAAGCCGGCCCUGGCCCA
rnacentral:tRNA from 1 species